GACCACUCUCCACGAGAGUCAAGGCCAUACGGACAGCCGGGUCCACUGCCGA
rnacentral:sRNA from 1 species